GACGAACGCUGGCGGCGUGCUUAACACAUGCAAGUCGAACGGAAAGGCCCUGCUUUUGUGGGGUGCUCGAGUGGCGAACGGGUGAGUAACACGUGAGUAACCUGCCCUUGACUUUGGGAUAACUUCAGGAAACUGGGGCUAAUACCGGAUAGGAGCUCCUGCUGCAUGGUGGGGGUUGGAAAGUUUCGGCGGUUGGGGAUGGACUCGCGGCUUAUCAGCUUGUUGGUGGGGUAGUGGCUUACCAAGGCUUUGACGGGUAGCCGGCCUGAGAGGGUGACCGGCCACAUUGGGACUGAGAUACGGCCCAGACUCCUACGGGAGGCAGCAGUGGGGAAUAUUGCACAAUGGGCGGAAGCCUGAUGCAGCAACGCCGCGUGCGGGAUGACGGCCUUCGGGUUGUAAACCGCUUUCGCCUGUGACGAAGCGUGAGUGACGGUAAUGGGUAAAGAAGCACCGGCUAACUACGUGCCAGCAGCCGCGGUGAUACGUAGGGUGCGAGCGUUGUCCGGAUUUAUUGGGCGUAAAGGGCUCGUAGGUGGUUGAUCGCGUCGGAAGUGUAAUCUUGGGGCUUAACCCUGAGCGUGCUUUCGAUACGGGUUGACUUGAGGAAGGUAGGGGAGCAUGGAAUUCCUGGUGGAGCGGUGGAAUGCGCAGAUAUCAGGAGGUACACCAGUGGCGAAGGCGGUUCUCUGGGCCUUUCCUGACGCUGAGGAGCGAAAGCGUGGGGAGCGAACAGGCUUAGAUACCCUGGUAGUCCACGCUGUAAACGGUGGGUACUAGGUGUGGGGUCCAUUCCACGGGUUCCGUGCCGUAGCUAACGCUUUAAGUACCCCGCCUGGGGAGUACGGCCGCAAGGCUAAAACUCAAAGGAAUUGACGGGGCCCCGCACAAGCGGCGGAGCAUGCGGAUUAAUUCGAUGCAACGCGUAGAACCUUACCUGGGUUUGACAUGGAUCGGGAGUGCUCAGAGAUGGGUGUGCCUCUUUUGGGGUCGGUUCACAGGUGGUGCAUGGCUGUCGUCAGCUCGUGUCGUGAGAUGUUGGGUUAAGUCCCGCAACGAGCGCAACCCUUGUUCACUGUUGCCAGCACGUUAUGGUGGGGACUCAGUGGAGACCGCCGGGGUCAACUCGGAGGAAGGUGGGGAUGACGUCAAGUCAUCAUGCCCCUUAUGUCCAGGGCUUCACGCAUGCUACAAUGGCUGGUACAGAGAGUGGCGAGCCUGUGAGGGUGAGCGAAUCUCGGAAAGCCGGUCUCAGUUCGGAUUGGGGUCUGCAACUCGACCUCAUGAAGUCGGAGUCGCUAGUAAUCGCAGAUCAGCAACGCUGCGGUGAAUACGUUCCCGGGGCU
rnacentral:rRNA from 1 species